UGGAGCAACCAGCUGAUUCUGCCAGGCUUGGUGACAAUUCCUCUGCAGAUAAAGUGCCAAUUGGCAGCAAGUGGCACAUGGAUGCAAGUGACUGCCUGCUGCAUCUUGUCAGCUUCUACUUUAUGUUGUGGAGAACAGCUCAUAUUGCUCAAUAGUCAGGAUCUCAUAUAACAGCUCAGGCUGCACUGGAUUAUCAAGCUGUUCCAUGCACAGAGAGUCAAAAGAGGACACAGUUCUAGCUGCACAGACUGUCCUUGUGAACUGGACUGCUGUAUUUUAGAUCACUGAUUAUCCUGCUAAAGUCAAUCACCGGCCCAUCCCUCUGUGCAUACAGCUGUCUGUCUGCUUUUCCAUACAGAAAAGGAGCUAACAUCUGACAUAUGUUUGGGGAAGAUUUGUUUAAUUAAACAAAAAUUAAUUGACAUAAUGAGAGUUCAUUUACAGUUUACAGUGGCUUAUGCAUAUACAUAUAAAGCUGGGUUUUAGAAAAGGCUCUGGCUGACUAUCCAGUGGGAUUAAAUUCUCAGCUUUGCUAUAGGCUUCCUGUUUAAACCUAGGCCAAUCAUGCAAAGAUAGAUCUGUGAGGUAUCAAGGUAUUUGAUUCUUAAAUGUCUAUUUAUUUCUUCUGUUAUCAGGGCUAUGAUACCUUUCUGCCUCAAUUUUUCCACCUGUAAAAGGGAGAGAACUGAAGGUCUCUUCACACACUGUGGCUGGAGCAUUUGUUUCAUGCAAAGGAUACUUUUGAUUCUGCUUCAGUAUAGCAGCAAGAGAAAUUGGAUCUUGUUCUCAGUUAUGAUCUUUUGAGUACUACUGUGCUGUGAAUAAAAAUAACCCUUAAUGCAGAAACAGUGACAUCUACACUGACACUCAAACUAACACGCUCUCUGUUUGUUUGUUACUUAAUUUUGUGAGUGGAUUGUUUUUUCCUCGGAAUACUUGUUGUAUAUCCCCCCCAGCUAUGAUACUGCUCUCCAGCUGCAAUGUUUAACAAUGGGAAGAUCCCUGACCUUUUGUCCUGACCCAAUACUAACUGACUGGAUUAUUUUAACAAGAGGAAAAGGUUUUAAAGAAGUGGCUGAGCUGUUCCUCAACAGGGACCUGGCCUGCUGUUCAGUCCUGCUGGAUUUCAAGCUCUUCUUGCCAGGCUGCCCUGGUGCUCGUUCAAACACAUGUCAACACAUGCAAUAUGGACACAAUACCCUCAUUCCUACGGGCUCCAGGACCCAGCAGAAGAAAGCGCAGGCAGAAGAUCAAACAUGGAAGGAACAGAAGACAGAGGAGCUGCUGUUGUCGUCUGUGUCUGGAACAGAAAAAUGAACACAAGGGAAGAGACAGGGUAGGGGGAUAAUUACUUUCAUCCCAAUUUUAUUCCCACAAUUCCCAACCACUUUUGAAGCCAAUUUUCCUUUAAUAAAAUAUACUAUUAAUGACUCA
rnacentral:lncRNA from 1 species